AGCAAGGCCGCGCGGUCGUUCUGCGCACGCGCACAGACUCAGCGUGCACCGAGGGGCGGGGCCUGGGAGGGGGCCACGGCUGGGUGUCGGAGCUGGUUCGCUGUCCCCGCGGCCUCGGAACCGUAAAAAAGCUGGAAGAUGCUGGCUGAGCAGAGUGGGGCGGUUCACUCCUCACCUCGGAAAGUUUUCUCAGAAUAAUGGAACAAGGUGUGGCGCCUUGGCCGCUUCACAGGCGCUUUUGUCAGGACAGGAAUUACCGAGGCUUGGGGUCGUUCGAGCUGUGUGGAUCUGAGGAAUGACUGGUUUUGUCCCUUUGGAAAGUCUGGGUCAGAAGCCGUGGAACCUCCUCGACCCUUCCUCAGUCAGGACCCCUUGUGCCCUGCUCCCAAGAUGGCGCCACGGCGAAAAAAGAGUUGGGGGGAACUUGGCUGCUCUCCCGAAGCACGUGGAGACAGGGUGCUUGCUGUGCAGAUGCAGCUUCUAAGAACUGUCGCGGACCCCAGGACCCCACUUCCAACCAGUCCUUGAAUCCAUAUAGAUUCUGGAGCAGCACCCCCAUCCCAUGCAGGUCACUAACUUAGUGCUCGUUUCAUUCUCUCGGUUUACACGUUUGACCCCCAACGCUUGAUGUAGUGCUGGGGAUCGAACCCAAGGACUUGUACAGGCUAAGCAAGCACUCUACCAACUGAGCUGUAACCCCAGCCCCUUCAACAAUGAUUUCUGUCUGCCAGUGUGUUAGAAGGAGGUCAGAGGUCAGAAGAAGGACACACUAUUUCCAGAGAGCCAGGGUUCCCAGGGCUGUGAAGUGGCAGGAAAUCUUUCCUCGUGGCUGCCCUACAGCUGCACUCUGAAGAUUAGGAAAGCAAGGAAAGGAACAGGGUCCAGGAGUAUUAGAAGGUCAUAACAGAAACCCUGCCACACCAGGGAAGGCUGAAGGAUCCAGGAGUAUUCAGCCUUGAGAAGAGAAAACUUGGAGGAACUGUGAGAACUGUCUUCCAUUUGAAACCCAGGACCCUAGGUUUCAAAACCAGGGACAUCAGGAGAUUGACCAUCAGGGGCCAGGUCUCAGCUUGAUUUGAAAACUAACUUUUUGGCACCAUCAGAGAGGAUUUACCUUGAAAGUCAAUUCAUUCUAUCAUCUAGUCACUCUACACAUAUUUACAGUGUGACCUCUUCAGGCCUGGCACUCAGUAGUUGCUGAGGAUACAGCCAUGAACAAAACACACAAAGCUGCCCUUCAGAAGCUGACUCGCCUGUGUUCAAACAUUCUGGGAGACACUGAGGCAGAAUAUGCAUCAGCUUCACAGGAUGUGAGCCUGGAUACAUCUUAAUAUUCCCUCAGGGGGAUUCUACAAUGUUUUUGGUCUUAAUAAGCCUAGUUUGUCUUCAGUACUCUGUAUACUUUUUUGGAGUUUGGAAAGAACCUCAUCAAGACUGCGUGGGGAUUAUGGUAUCCAAUUGAAGCAAACCUGUGAAUAUAGGUACACAACAGAAAUCAGGUAUGUGGCAAUUGUAAAAAUUGCCUUUGGAUUUGGAAAUCUUAAAACAAUAAAAUUCUUUCAUUUAAAAACAA